GACGAACGCUGGCGGCGUGCUUAACACAUGCAAGUCGAACGGAAAGACCCUGCUUUUGUGGGGUGCUCGAGUGGCGAACGGGUGAGUAACACGUGAGUAACCUGCCCUUGACUUUGGGAUAACUUCAGGAAACUGGGGCUAAUACCGGAUAGGAGCUCCUGCUGCAUGGUGGGGGUUGGAAAGUUUCGGCGGUUGGGGAUGGACUCGCGGCUUAUCAGCUUGUUGGUGGGGUAGUGGCAUACCAAGGCUUUGACGGGUAGCCGGCCUGAGAGGGUGACCGGCCACAUUGGGACUGAGAUACGGCCCAGACUCCUACGGGAGGCAGCAGUGGGGAAUAUUGCACAAUGGGCGGAAGCCUGAUGCAGCAACGCCGCGUGCGGGAUGACGGCCUUCGGGUUGUAAACCGCUUUCGCCUGUGACGAAGCGUGAGUGACGGUAAUGGGUAAAGAAGCACCGGCUAACUACGUG
rnacentral:rRNA from 1 species